rnacentral:rRNA from 1 species
AGCAGCCGCGGUAAUUCCAGCUCCAAUAGCGUAUAUUAAAGUUGUUGCAGCUAAAAAGCUCGUAGUUGAAUUUCGGGAUUGACACAUCGGUCGUGCCUUAAGGGGUAUGAACUGGUGUAGUCAAUUUCUCACCUUCUGGAGAACCGCGAUGCCCUUAAUUGGGUGUCACGGGGAACCGGGACCUUUACUUUGAAAAAAUUAGAGUGUUUAAAGCAGGCAUUUUGCUUGAAUACAUUAGCAUGGAAUAAUAAAAUAGGACGGCAUGAUUCUAUUUUGUUGGUUUCUAGGAUCACCGUAAUGAUUAAUAGGGAUAGUUGGGGGCGAUUAGUAUUCAAUUGUCAGAGGUGAAAUUCUUGGAUUUAUUGAAGACUAACUACUGCGAAAGCAUUUGCCAAGGAUGUUUUCAUUAAUCAAGAACGAAAGUUAGGGGAUCGAAGACGAUCAGAUACCGUCGUAGUCUUAACCAUAAACUAUGCCGACUAGGAAUCAGACGAUGUUAAUUUUUUAAUGACUCGUUUGG